GCCACAUCACAUUGGCACACCGGUUCCCAUAUGAUCACUGAACUUAAGCAGUAUCAAGUCAAGUCAGUACUUAGAUGGGUGACUACUUGGAAAUACCAGGCGCUGUAAG